rnacentral:rRNA from 1 species
GAUGAACGCUGGCGGCGUGCUUAACACAUGCCAGUCGAACGAAGCAUUUGCGACAGAUUUUUUCGGAAUGAAGUUGCUUAUGACUGAGUGGCGGACGGGUGAGUAACGCGUGGGUAACCUGCCUUGUACUGGGGGAUAGCAGCUGGAAACGGCUGGUAAUACCGCAUAAGCGCACAAUGUUGCAUGACAUGGUGUGAAAAACUCCGGUGGUAUAAGAUGGACCCGCGUCUGAUUAGCUAGUUGGUGAGAUAACAGCCCACCAAGGCGACGAUCAGUAGCCGACCUGAGAGGGUGACCGGCCACAUUGGGACUGAGACACGGCCCAGACUCCUACGGGAGGCAGCAGUGGGGAAUAUUGCACAAUGGAGGAAACUCUGAUGCAGCGACGCCGCGUGAGUGAAGAAGUAAUUCGUUAUGUAAAGCUCUAUCAGCAGGGAAGAUAGUGACGGUACCUGACGAAGAAGCGCCGGCUAAAUACGUG